rnacentral:rRNA from 1 species
AGCUCCAAUAGCGUAUAUUAAAGUUGCUGCAGUUAAAAAGCUCGUAGUUGCAUUUCCGAGGCAAGGGAUUAGUCCGACCUUUGGUGGGUAUUUAAUCCUCUUGCCUCGUCCUUGAGUGGUGCUUCUUGGUAUUAAGUUAUCGAGGAGAUAGCCGCUCAUCGUUUACUGUGAGAAAAUUAGAGUGUUCAAAGCAGGCUUAUGCCGUUGAAUAUAUUAGCAUGGAAUAAUAAGAUAGGACCUCGGUACUAUUUGGUUGGUUUGAGAACCAAGGUAAUGAUGAAGAGGGACAGUUGGGGGUAUUCGUAUUCAGUUGUCAGAGGUGAAAUUCUUAGAUUUACGGAAGACGAACUACUGCGAAAGCAUUUACCAAGGAUGUUUUCA